rnacentral:Y_RNA from 1 species
GGCUGGUCCGAAGGUAGUGAGUUAUCUCACUUGAUUUUUCAGUCAGUUACAGAUUGAACUCCUUGUUCUACUACUUAACCCCCCUCCUCACUACUGCACUUGACUAGUCUUAA